GACGAACGCUGGCGGCGUGCCUAAUACAUGCAAGUAGAACGCUGAAGGAGGAGCUUGCUUCUUUGGAUGAGUUGCGAACGGGUGAGUAACGCGUAGGUAACCUGCCUGGUAGCGGGGGAUAACUAUUGGAAACGAUAGCUAAUACCGCAUAAGAGUAGAUGUCGCAUGACAAUUGCUUAAAAGGUGCAAUUGCAUCACUACCAGAUGGACCUGCGUUGUAUUAGCUAGUUGGUGAGGUAACGGCUCACCAAGGCAACGAUACAUAGCCGACCUGAGAGGGGGAUCGGCCACCCUGGGACUGAGACACGGCCCAGACUCCUACGGGAGGCAGCAGUAGGGAAUCUUCGGCAAUGGACGGAAGUCUGACCGAGCAACGCCGCGUGAGUGAAGAAGGUUUUCGGAUCGUAAAGCUCUGUUGUAAGAGAAGAACGAGUGUGAGAGUGGAAAGUUCACACUGUGACGGUAGCUUACCAGAAAGGGACGGCUAACUACGUG
rnacentral:rRNA from 1 species